ACUCCUACGGGAGGCAGCAGUGGGGAAUUUUGGACAAUGGGCGAAAGCCUGAUCCAGCAAUGCCGCGUGCAGGAUGAAGGCCUUCGGGUUGUAAACUGCUUUUGUACGGAACGAAAAAGCUCCUUCUAAUACAGGGGCCCAUGCACGGUACCGUAAGAAUAAGCACCGGCUAACUACGUGCCAGCAGCCGCGGUAAUACGUAGGGUGCGAGCGUUAAUCGGAAUUACUGGGCGUAAAGCGUGCGCAGGCGGUUAUGUAAGACAGAUGUGAAAUCCCG
rnacentral:rRNA from 1 species